GGGUUUAAAGCCGCAGGAUCCCUUUUGCGCGCCGCUGGUCGGGGGUGGGGAGCCCAGGCAGGACCCCGGCCAGCUCCUUUCAGCAGCAGCCCCUCCCAGACAACAGAGAAGCAGCCUCCCUUUCCUCGGAGCCCGCCCUUCCCACCUUUUAAAGAGGAAGUGGCAUCUGGAGAUGGACACCCACCAUGCCACUUGGCAUGGAGGGAGCUGUGCGGUUUGAUUUUUAGUAGAAAGAUGCCUAUUGGAAAUUCCAGUAAAGCUGUUUGCAAUAUUAGACAUCAUCCUUUGGUCAGUAGUUUGCCGACUUGACUUAUGAGAAUAUUGCCUUGUAUUGUUUAGUGAGAGUUUUUUCACUUAUAUAUUUUGCGGCUGAGAUAUGUUGGGUCACUCUAGCCCUGGUUUCUCUAUUGCUUGUUCCAUCCUUUUGUCUUCAAAGUAGAAAACACCUGAGAUAUCUGGCCACCACAGACAACCUCUUGCCUUCUGGGGCUUUGUUUUCAAUUCAUGAAGUGACUGACAGUGGAGGACAGCAGGGCUCACUGAGCACCCCUGGAGGGGCGGGAGAGAAGACCUGAGAGAUGGCUGCACCAGAAACGGUCUCGGAGCUUGAUGAGGCUCCCAAAUGGGAAGCGGUACUCAGGAAGGAGUUGACCAUCACCUGAUAUCGCCUGAGGGCCCUGUCCUGCUGACUCCUGACCUUAGCCGCUUUAAGACUCAUUGCAGACCCCUAACCAUGGAAAGAGAAGAACUGCCCAGGAAGUCACAGCAGGUUGAACACCAAGCAGGUGGACGCUAUUAUCUGCCCAGGCUGCUACCACAGACUACUAUAAACUAAGGGACUUAAAGAACCUUUUUUUUUUCUCCUGGUUUUAGAGGCUGAGAGA